CANGUCGAACGAUGACUUUUGUGCUUGCACAAAAUGAUUAGUGGCGAACGGGUGAGUAACACGUGAGUAACCUGCCCUUAACUUCGGGAUAAGCCUGGGAAACCGGGUCUAAUACCGGAUACGACGGUCCACCGCAUGGUGGUCCGUGGAAAGCUUGAUGCGGUUUUGGAUGGACUCGCGGCCUAUCAGCUAGUUGGUUGGGGUAAUGGCCCACCAAGGCGACGACGGGUAGCCGGCCUGAGAGGGUGACCGGCCACACUGGGACUGAGACACGGCCCAGACUCCUACGGGAGGCAGCAGUGGGGAAUAUUGCACAAUGGGCGAAAGCCUGAUGCAGCGACGCCGCGUGAGGGACGAAGGCCUUCGGGUUGUAAACCUCUUUCAGCAGGGAAGAAGCGAAAGUGACGGUACCUGCAGAAGAAGCGCCGGCUAACUACGUGCCAGCAGCCGCGGUAAUACGUAGGGCGCAAGCGUUAUCCGGAAUUAUUGGGCGUAAAGAGCUCGUAGGCGGUUUGUCGCGUCUGCUGUGAAAGCCCGGGGCUCAACCCCGGGUCUGCAGUGGGUACGGGCAGACUAGAGUGCAGUAGGGGAGACUGGAAUUCCUGGUGUAGCGGUGAAAUGCGCAGAUAUCAGGAGGAACACCGAUGGCGAAGGCAGGUCUCUGGGCUGUAACUGACGCUGAGGAGCGAAAGCAUGGGGAGCGAACAGGAUUAGAUACCCUGGUAGUCCAUGCCGUAAACGUUGGGCACUAGGUGUGGGGGACAUUCCACGUUUUCCGCGCCGUAGCUAACGCAUUAAGUGCCCCGCCUGGGGAGUACGGCCGCAAGGCUAAAACUCAAAGGAAUUGACGGGGGCCCGCACAAGCGGCGGAGCAUGCGGAUUAAUUCGAUGCAACGCGAAGAACCUUACCAAGGCUUGACAUGAACCGGAAAGGCCUGGAAACAGGUCCCCCACUUGUGGCCGGUUUACAGGUGGUGCAUGGUUGUCGUCAGCUCGUGUCGUGAGAUGUUGGGUUAAGUCCCGCAACGAGCGCAACCCUCGUUCUAUGUUGCCAGCGCGUUAUGGCGGGGACUCAUAGGAGACUGCCGGGGUCAAYUCGGAGGAAGGUGGGGACGACGUCAAAUCAUCAUGCCCCUUAUGUCUUGGGCUUCAGCAUGCUACAUGGCCGGUACAAGGGUUGCGAU
rnacentral:rRNA from 1 species